GAUGAACGCUAGCGGCAGGCUUAACACAUGCAAGUCGUGGGGCAGCAUGAAUGUAGCAAUACAUUUGAUGGCGACCGGCAAACGGGUGCGGAACACGUACACAACCUUCCUAUAAGUGGGGAAUAGCCCAGAGAAAUUUGGAUUAAUACCCCGUAACAUAAUGAUGUGGCAUCACAUUAUUAUUAUAGCUUCGGCGCUUAUUGAUGGGUGUGCGGCUGAUUAGAUAGUUGGCGGGGUAACGGCCCACCAAGUCUACGAUCAGUAGCUGAUGUGAGAGCAUGAUCAGCCACACGGGCACUGAGACACGGGCCCGACUCCUACGGGAGGCAGCAGUAAGGAAUAUUGGUCAAUGGACGCAAGUCUGAACCAGCCAUGCCGCGUGAAGGAUUAAGGUCCUCUGGAUUGUAAACUUCUUUUAUCUGGGACGAAAAAAGGCGAUUCUUCGUCACUUGACGGUACCAGAUGAAUAAGCACCGGCUAACUCCGUGCCAGCCGCCGCCGUAAGAC
rnacentral:rRNA from 1 species